ensembl:lncRNA
CCGUCCUAUUUGGCUCCAUUUCAGUGAAUGCGAGUGCCAGCUUGGGGAGCAGCCAUUCACCGCGACACCGGGGGCUGCCAAAGCUGAUGCCGCACUCCAGCAUCAAUGGCUUCUCUGUGCGUCUCUCGAGGAAGAGCUUUCUCUCCCUCGACCCGAUUCAUCGUGCCGUAAUCAAGAUGUUUUAUUGUUUAUACGUUUUUUUACAGCUGCUGAGUGCGUGCGUUUCGCGAUGCAUUAGCGCGGCACUGUGAACGGCAAAACAAAAACGGGGUCUCUUGGCACGAGGAGAACGGGGCCAUGUGUGAGGAUAUAACGCUGACAGUAAAAGUUUAAUGGCAUCGUCUGUUAGUCACAGGACGGAUCGGCUGAACAGAGACUCCAUCACUCUUCAGAUCACCGGGAGGAGAAGGAGGCUUCAACCAAACUCCAGAGUGACACAGAACCCUGUGCAAACUAUUCUUAUUCUUAUUUAUUUCUGCCGCCCCGGUGGUCCGACCCCUCGAACCUCUGCAGGUGUCCGCCGAUCGCCGCCUGAAUUAACGGUUACCACGUUUUUUUUGUUUGUUUCUUCCCUCGCAGGACGAAAUGUCCUCACAAGCUCUCGGGGGCACGCGUCUAAAUUAAGCUCGGCCUGUGAGAGGGUCUCACAGGGGAACACGCGAAGUGAAUCUGUGUGAGCGGCCCCGUGUUGUGGCGAGGGCCACCCAACGGACCGGCCCGCAUCCUCGCCGCCCCGGGUACCCGGGUACCUAAGACGGGGACCCACAGGUUUGAUGACACAAGUUACCUGGUUGCAUUACAUCAGAGGUCCCCCAAACUGAUGGCGAGGUGGAGCAGGGACCCCCUAUUCUACGGAGUUUGGUCCGCCAUCUUUUCUUUUCGAGCUUCACGCUCUUUAGACGUGAGCAUGAGCGCGAUCUGAUUGGCUGGCGCCUGCGCGGUCGUAUCCGCAUGAAAGGAGCCGUGAGUGAAGCGGUGCUGAGGGAAGCUGAGUGUGUGCGUUGACAGGUGACGUCUUCUCCGUCAAUUUAUCCGCUCGCUUCAAUACGUUGGAUUCAUGUUAACGUGGAUUUAAAGACCAGAAAUAAAAGUCUGGUUUUGGUUUUCUGGUUCUGAAGACAUUUACAUUUGUGGGGGAAAAAAUUGUCUUAUCAACCAAAAAUUUCGCGACCUCCCCUGCAGUACCUUCGCGGACCCCUUGGGGGUCGCCGACCCCCUGUUGAAGACCUCUGCAUUACAUGAUUUGAGAUAAGAAUGAGGGGAAAGUUUGGUUUGGUGCACAAAUCCAUCAUGUUUUUUGUUAAAACGACUUCUUCCUCUUACAAACGAUGUGACAGUUAAAAUAAAAAUGAACUUCAAAACAUCAGGAAAUGAAUCUCGAUGC